GCUGCGGAAAUUUUAAAAGUAUUACAAAUUAGAGGUCAAGUAGAAAUUUUAUAAGUUCUGAAGACAGAUAACAUAAUGGUGAUAAUUGAAGAAUUCUCUUUCUUGACGUCCUUGUAACUUUACUGAAAACAAAUAAACUCUGCAGGAAGGAAUAUGAAUGGAAAUGACAAAAUAAUGAAUAUUAUUGGUCUGGCAAGCCCCAUUAUGUUGUUUAUAAUUAAGGUAUCUACUGUACAGGCUGGAGCUGAAUAACCUGAUUAUAGGACAGUUAGAUGGGGAAUAUGUUGGGCUUUUGUUUCCACAUAAAAAGCAUUUUCCCUUAGUCAGAUGUACUAGCAAGUAACAUUAUUUCAUGCUUUACUAAUUUGGAAUAGGAAUUUGAUUAUUGGAAAUUGUAUUUUGGUUAAUUAGGUUGCUUGAGUUGAUUUACUUGUAAUUUUUUUAAAACUGAUUUACUUAUAAAGUUAACCUUGUGAACUGGACUUAUUUAUAUUUGAAUAACAUCAUUCCAUGCUUUUGUUUUCCGCUACCUUCAAAUAGGAAAUAAAGCCUAAUGAUGAUGCUUGAGUAGAUUAGGAAGUUGUGCUUUAAUUUGGAGAUAAAAUGGAACUAGUGGGGUGUCUUCUCUAUGCUUGUCAUUUGUCAAAUGUCUUUAGUUUUAACUUUCAUGUACUUGUAUUUUUGUUUUUUUCCAAUGAUUAUAUGCCUUUGUGCAGUCUUUUUGUCACUGAAUUUUUUUUUUUUUU
rnacentral:misc_RNA from 1 species